UCUACCACUGCUCUUCACAACUAUGAACAUGGCCUUCAACAUUUUUGUUCUAAAUCUGGUGAAGAUGUCUACAGCACUGGUUGCUUCGCUAACAGCAACACUAGCAGUACCUCUUUCGAUAUACAUCGUGUCGCUUCCUCUUCCAUACAUGCCUGGAGGAACAAGUUUAAGCACAUCCUUUUUGGUCGGCGCUGCUGUCUUGGUGCUUGGGUUACUCCUAUACAAUCUCCCCCAGAAUUCAGCUGAUCAAGUGAAGACAGAGUGAUAUAAACCAAAGUCACUCACAAGGAUGGCAACAAGCUUUUGAUGCACAUUGAUACAAUACAAGACCGUGCAUUUUCAACUGCGAUCAGAAGCACAUGUUUGUAUAGAACUUCUGAAGGGUGUGACGUUCUACAACCUGAGAGAAAUCUUUUCGCACAGGCAGGGUUGUCAGGCGUGAAGCUGCAGCUGACAAA